AUAGAUCCGUAACUUCGGGAAAAGGAUUGGCUCUAAGGGUUGGGUGCAUCGGGCCUUGGUAAGAAGCCUCGGGACUCAGCUGGGACUGCUUGGGGGGCAACCUCUAGGUGGAUCUGGCCAGGACCUGACGGUGGGCGACCUUGGCUGCCUUUCGGGGCGUCCGGUGUACGCUUAACAACCAACUUAGAACUGGUACGG
rnacentral:rRNA from 1 species